rfam:Stachybotrys chartarum IBT 40288 unplaced genomic scaffold C40866, whole genome shotgun sequence.
AGUUCUUUAACUUAAUCGGUGAAAGUGCAUUCUUGAUAAGAAUGAAAUUUAAGUUCAAGUCUUAAAAGAAUUA